rnacentral:rRNA from 1 species
GAGUAACACGUGGGCAACCUGCCUGUAAGUUGGGGAUAACUCCGGGAAACCGGGGCUAAUACCGAAUGAUAGAAUGUGGCGCAUGCCACGCUUUUGAAAGAUGGUUUCGGCUAUCGCUUACAGAUGGGCCCGCGGUGCAUUAGCUAGUUGGUAGGGUAAUGGCCUACCAAGGCAACGAUGCAUAGCCGACCUGAGAGGGUGAUCGGCCACACUGGGACUGAGACACGGCCCA